UUACCUUUUCUUUUGAGGGUUGUUUAAAUUUUCCUGAGUCUCUGUAGGCUUAAGAACUUUGAUCUUGUCCUAAGAGUUCUGAGUAUUAUGUUGCAAGACUUUUGAAGCCAUUAACAUUCUCUGGAGAAUUUCGAGUUUUUCUUUCCCACUCGAUUAGCCCAGUGAGGUCCAGAUGACAACUUCCGCUUUGCCUUCUGUGGACAGUUGUUCCGAGGUGUCUCUCCCCUUGAGUGUGGAACCAAGUUUUCAGGAAUGGCAAAUUGGAUGCAUCUUGAACGCACUUCUUCCAGUGACAGCGGCUGCUUGAAAUCCUGAGAUGAGAAGGAUUCUGAGGACACUUGGCUCAGUAGAGGGUUACACAGCUGAAAAUGAUACAGCCGUGCACUCAAGAAACCAUCGACUACUGAAAAAACAGAUAAAUAAACAGGCAGCUAGACUAAAAUAUAAAUGUUAUGAUAGAAGUAGGUGAUUCCUAACUCGUUAAUCUUUUGCCUUUUGUGUCUCUUGGGAUUUGGGAACCUUGACAUCAAUAAAAUCCCUAUAUCUGGUGGACUUCCUUUUUAG